GCCCUCUUUUCCCCUGGGCUCCUGUUCCAGCUGCACGAUGUGAUCCACCAGCUAGGAGGGAUGCCAAUAAGGCGUCCGAUAAGAUAAGUCUUAUAAAAUAUAUAGAUGUAUGAUAAUUGAGACUGAGCUAACAGAUGAGAAUCCUAGUCAUUGGCCAAGCAGCAUUGUAACUAAUACAAGUCUCUCUGUGUAUUCAUUUGGGCCUAACUCAGACAGGCGGCUGUCGUAAAGCUCACAUGUGACAGUGGGGCUCAGGCGGCUUUUGGCAGAAAGAUUUAUAGUAACACAUACCCUCACAGAAGAGCUGACCCCUGCACUGUAGAGAGAUGGCUCCACCCCUCACCACAGGCAAGGGAGAACUGACCCUGAGGGCUUGAGUCUAAGGGAGCUGGCUCUUCCCCUUUGCCUGAGGUAGACAGUCCCAGUGACCUGGCCUGGCAGGCUCAACCACCACCCAGAAUAAUACCAGGAUUUUAAUGAUUUGGGGAAGCUGUUGUCAUUUCCUAAAUGUUAUUCUUCAAACCCUGUUGAAGAAGAGUACCUUCUCUGUUUCAUACUUUAGAUUUAGCCCUUCAUUCUUCCUCACUGGGAUCACUAACCACCCGGGUCUCAGUAUCUUUCUCUAAAUAUUACUUGUUUUAAAAAAUAUAUAAGAUUCAUGGUUUACCUGCCUUUUUCUUUUAGUCCACACUCUGCAUAUGUUCUUGACUGUUGACUAAUUUGGGGCAAUUAUUCACUUUCUAUUCUUUUUUGUGUUUAUUCUUUUUUGUUAUUUAUUUAUUUAUCUCUCAUAUAUUACAUCUGAUCUCAUUUCCCCUACCUCCUUUUCUCCCAAUUCCUCCACUCAUCUCUCUUCUCCCCUCAGCCACCCAAUCCUUCUCCAUUUCCCUUCAGUAAAGUUAAGGCCUCCCAGGGAUACCAACCAAGCACGGCAUAUCAAUUUGCAAUAAAAUUAGGCACCUCUCUUCAUAUUGAAACUGGAAAGGAGACUCAAAAUGAGGAAAAGGGUCCAAAAAAGCAGGCAAAAAAGUCAGAGACCGCCCUCACUCCCAUGGGUAAAAGUCAGACAAGAAGACCAGGCUAGACAACCAUAACAUAAAUGUAGAGGACUUUGGUCAGACCCAUGCAGGCUUGCUGAUUUUUUGUUCAGUCUCUGUGAGCUCCUAUGAGCUAGGUUAGUUGACUCUGUGCCUUUUUUUGUAGUGUACUUGUCCCUUAGCUCCUAAAAUCCUUCCUCCCCCUCUUCUGCAGGAUUCCUGAGUUCUGCCUAAUGUUUGGCUGUGGGUGUCUGCAUCUGUUUCCAUCAGAUGCUGGGUGAAGCCUCUCAGAUGAUGAUUAUGGCUAGGCUUAAUGCAUGAGUGUAUGAGUAUAGGAGAAUAUCAUUAUGUAUCAUUUUAUUGACUUUUUUGUCUAGGUUUUGUUCCAUUUGGUUCCAUUCUAGGUGUCUAGGAUAUCCAGCCUCAAGUUUGUGGUCAUCCAAGCAAUGUCAGGGGUGGGCUUCCUCCAGUGCCAUAGGACUUAAGCUGGAUUGCUCAUUGGCUGGCCAUUCUGCUGAUUUCUGCUAGACCUUUAACACAGCACAUCUUGUAGAUGGAACAAAUUGUCUGCAUAUCAGUUUAUUAAGAUGGAAUCGCUGCUAAUUACAUGGUAGAGAAGCUAAUUGCCAUAAUCAUUGUGGUUCUCCAGAAUACACAUUGGAAUCAAAUGGUUUAAAACCACAAGGAACUUUUCCUGAUGCCUGGUGACAAGGCUGAGGUGGAUGAAUCUGUGCAGCUACUUCAAUCUGUUAAAGAGUUUGUGGGCCACACAGUGGUCACGUGCAUACAAGAAGUCAAAGAGCUCCUCUGUACAAUCCUUUUCGUCUGUGUUGGGGAAGACAUGCUUAUCACAAAGCUCUAGCCGCUCCCUGGCCUUUACACACUUCUCUAACUGCUCACAUUGCUCUCUCACUGUAGUUAGGGGGUCCACUAAUUCCUCCUGCUCUUCUUCCUCUUUGGAGUCUCUGGAUCCAGUAAGCAUCUUUCGUUCGUCCUCUAGUCCCAUGUCAGGAAGCUGUUCAGGACUCAACACCAGGAGAAACAUUUCUUAUUCCACUUCAGGAUCAAAAAUCCUGUUUCCCACUUUUUUCCUCCCUUUUUUUAUUAGAAAGAAAAUUACUUUACAUUUCAAUCUCAGUUCCCUCUCCCUCUCUCCUCCCCUGACCCCCCCCAACUAACCCUGUACCCAUCACAUACCCUUUCUGCUCCCCAGGGAGGGUGAGGCCUUUGAUAGGGGGUCUUCAAAGUCUGUCAUAUUCUUUGGGAUAGGGCCUAGACAAACCUGCUUGUAUCUGGGCUCAGGGAGUAUCCCUCCAUAUGGUUGGUCCGAAAGUAGUGUUGUUUACAACUAAUUGAUCACAAUCUGUUUCCCACUUUUAUUCAUGUAUAGUUCUUUUAGUAGGCUUGAGGCCUCAAGGAUUUUUGUUCAUCCAGUUUGGUGUAUUCAUUAAACUCAUCCAUAUUUUAAAUAAAAUUCAGUGAGAUUAAAGACAACCACAGAGAAAGGUAUAUUAGCAUGAUAAAUAAGUGGGAGAGGAUCGAGUGAGAGACCAGGGAGAGGAAUAGGAGAAGGUAACCAAUUGAGAGAAACAGAGGUGCUAGUCAGUGAGGACUUGUUACUAGAUGUCUUUUUCUCCAUGUCCCAGACACUUCCUCUAUCUCCAGGCUAACUAUGCAAACUUUAUAUUACUAUGGUUUGUUGUUUUUGUUGUUAUUUGUUCUGUUGGAGAAAGUGGCUCAUCAUGAAGAGAUUAAAAAGAGG
ensembl:lncRNA